GAUAAACGCUAGCGGCAGGCCUAACACAUGCAAGUCGAGGGGUAGAAGGAGCUUGCUCCUUUGAGACCGGCGCACGGGUGCGUAACGCGUAUGCAAUCUACCUUUUACAGAGGGAUAGCCCAGAGAAAUUUGGAUUAAUACCUCAUAGUAUAUAUCAUUCGCAUGUUUGGUAUAUUAAAGUUCCAACGGUAAAAGAUGAGCAUGCGUCCCAUUAGUUAGUUGGUAAGGUAACGGCUUACCAAGACGAUGAUGGGUAGGGGUCCUGAGAGGGAGAUCCCCCACACUGGUACUGAGACACGGACCAGACUCCUACGGGAGGCAGCAGUGAGGAAUAUUGGUCAAUGGACGCAAGUCUGAACCAGCCAUGCCGCGUGCAGGAAGACGGUCCUAUGGAUUGUAAACUGCUUUUGUACGGGAAGAAACACUCCUACGUGUAGGAGCCUGGCGGUACCGUAAGAAUAAGGAUCGGCUAACUCCGUGCCAGCCGCCGCGGUAAAAC
rnacentral:rRNA from 1 species